rnacentral:tRNA from 1 species
GCAUUGGUGGCUCAGUGGUAGAGCUCUUGCCUUCCGUGCAGGAGACCUGGGUUCGAUUUCCAGCCAAUGCA